rnacentral:lncRNA from 1 species
CUCUGGAAGGACUGGGCGUGCCCGGCGUGCUGUGCGUCCCCUCCGGAAGGACUGGGCGUGCCCGGCGUGCUGUGCGUCUCCUCCGGAAGGACUGGGCGUGCCCGGCGUGCUGUGCGUCCCCUCCGGAAGGACUGGGCGUGCCCGGCGUGCUGUGCGUCUCCUCUGGAAGGACUGGGCGUGCCCGGCGUGCUGUGCGUCCCCUCCGGAAGGACUGGGCAUGCAGUCUGUAGAGUCCGUCCACACGAAGAAGACUCCCAUCCACACCUUCCAGGUGGACCACCUGCUACAUGGAGUUAGAAGCCAGGAAUCACGUGACUGCCCGCCCAAUCGUGACCCAUCACAGGCUCUGUGCACAAGAAUUCGUCUAAGGUUUCCAAAAGAAGCAUCAGCCCCAGUCAGAGAAACCCCAAUGUCCCAGUCCCUCGUAGGAAGGCAGUGUGUGUGUGCCCCUUAAGGAGACCACCAUUGCAAAAUUAUGACAGAAACAGUGAAAGAGCUCUAACUUAGCUUACUCCGUCUUGCUUCUUACCUCCAAGCUGUCCUCGUUCCUUCCUGGGUAUAGGCUGAACUAACUUUGGGAGGAACUUAGUUUAUAGUUUAAAACAAAGACAAUAAUAGCCCUUUCCCAAAGCAAACCUCCUUCUUGCCUGGGGACUAGACCGCUUUUGUAGGACCUACAAAUUAGCCGCAAGAUUAGUAAUUAUGGUUUAGGCGUCAUGUAGCUGGAGGCUACAAGAUUCUGACCCUCCCUAAAGCGCUCCUAAGAUCCGUGCUUGAGGUAUUUUACAGACCCUGCACUUGAUGGAUCAGCUGGCACCACCCAGACCUGCAAACUGGCUCAUCCGUUGUGGCCCCCACCCAGGAACUGACUCUGCACGAGAAAACAGCUUCGGAUCCCUAUGAUUUCAUCUCUGACCAAACCAAUCAGCACUCUCAACUCACUGGCCUUCCCCGCCCACCAAAUUAUCCUUUACAACUCUGAUCCCCGAAUCCAGAUCAGGGAAUCUGAUCUGAGUCAUAAUAAAACUCCAGUUUCCCACACAGCUGGCUGUGCAUGAACUACUCUUUCUCUAUUGCAAUUUCCCUGUCUUGAUAAAUUGGCUGAGUCCAGGCAACCGGCAAGGUGAACCCACUGGGCGGCUACAUUACCACGGCUCAAGGCGUUGUGCUUGGAGCCUACGUCCAUGGAAGAGGAGGACUCCGUCAUGGAAUUGUGAAUCAUGUCAUUUUCUGGAUCAACAGAGGGUCACACUGACUACGCGGCCCUAUUUUUCCUGGCUUUCUGUCUGUAUUGCUGUCUUAUCAGUUUUAUUUUGUUUUGUUCUGUUUUACUUUGUAUUAUUGUUAUUUGUAUUACAAGAACUUUUCUAAUUAGGAAGUAAAUUCAAUUAAGGAUACUCAAUGAUUUUCUGUAUGUCUCAAAUAGCUGGCAC